rnacentral:rRNA from 1 species
UACGUAGGGUCCGAGCGUUGUCCGGAAUUAUUGGGCGUAAAGAGCUCGUAGGCGGCUUAGCAAGUCGGGUGUGAAAACUCCAGGCUCAACCUGGAGACGCCACUCGAGACUGCUAUGGCUAGAGUCCGGUAGGGGAGUGUGGAAUUCCCGGUGUAGCGGUGAAAUGCGCAGAUAUCGGGAGGAACACCAGUAGCGAAGGCGGCACUCUGGGCCGGAACUGACGCUGAGGAGCGAAAGCGUGGGUAGCAAACAGG